CUGGCCUCCGGAUGGGCCCAGUAGCCUUGUCGCACCUGCCGGCAGGGACAAAGGCGCACUACGGGUCGGAAACUCCCCGCGCUCCUCUUUCCCGCUCGUCGCGGGGCAGCUUCAAAGCUGUCAACGUUUCCCUCAGUCCCCAAUACCAGUGACAGGUCGCCCAUAUUUGAUUUUGAGCUCCAAAAUGGAAGAUUGGAAAAUAUGUUUUGAAGAGG
rnacentral:lncRNA from 1 species